CCCAGACUCCUACGGGAGGCAGCAGUGGGGAAUAUUGCACAAUGGGGGGAACCCUGAUGCAGCGACGCCGCGUGGGUGAAGGAGCACCUCGGUGCGUAAAGCCCUAUCGGCAGGGAAGAAACAGACGGUACCUGACUAAGAAGCCCCGGCUAACUACGUGCCAGCAGCCGCGGGAAUACGUAGGUGGCAAGCGUUGUCCGGAUUUACUGGGUGUAAAGGGCGUGUAGCCGGGAAGGCAAGUCAGAUGUGAAAUCUGGAGGCUCAACCUCCAAAUUGCAUUUGAAACUGUUUUUCUUGAGUACUGGAGAGGCAGACGGAAUUCCUUGUGUAGCGGUGAAAUGCGUAGAUAUAAGGGGGAACACCAGUGGCGAAGGCGGUCUGCUGGACAGCAACUGACGGUGAGGCGCGAAAGCGUGGGGAGCAAACAGGAUUAGAUACCCGGGUAUA
rnacentral:rRNA from 1 species